ensembl:miRNA
CAAAAGUAUUUGCGGUUUUUGUCAUUAAAAGUAAUGGCAAAAACUGCAAUUACUUU